AGUGAGGCAGAGCCUGAGUUUGCUCACUUGGUGUCGUCUAGCGUACACGAGACAGGCAGACCCCGGGAAACAACUAGGUAUUGGCCGCGCCAGUGCGAGGAUCAGAAGCUGUGGAAGCCUCAACAGGAGAGGACGAGAGGCCAUCGGAGCAGCGCUGCCUGACAGGGCGUGGCCCAGGAGGCCCAGCCGAGGCGGGCGGGUCCUAGAUCGACCGGCGGCCUGCGGCCUGCGGGGGGGCGGGGCCAGGCUGAGGGGCGGGGGCGUCCCUGGGCCCUGGCGCGGCGCCUGGAGCUCCUGCUGCUGGAAGCGCCAUGUGACCGUGACUCUGCACAAGCCGGGAACGCAGAGAAACAAAGGGCGGCUCAGCGGCCACCGGGCGCUCAGGCUGGCACGGAGGGCCCGGCCUCAACCCCAACCGGGGCCCCGCGCUCUUGUCCCUACGGACCCUCGGUGCCCAGGGCGGGCAGGGAGGCGCCGGAUCCUGCUGAGGCCCGGGGCGGGAAGCGCGGCCUCCCAGGGAGCUGGGGAGGGAGGGCAGGCCUGAGGACGCUGAAAUGCAAGUGCGAGGCGGGGUGGGCGAUGUCGGGUCCGGGCUGGGCCGUGGAGCGUUGCAGGUUCCCUCCUCACGGCUGGCUCUGGCAAAUGACCCUCUCUGAACCUCUGUUUCUGUAAUAGAGGUGAAGAUAAUCGUCCCCACGCAAUUAUCCUAGGGUUAGGAGGCUUAAGGGAGGCGUCCCAUGUAGAGCGGUGAGGACAGCACAGGGUUGUCGGGCCGCAUUCUAGCUCCUCUCCCACAUAAACAUGCACAGGAUUUCGGGUCACUGAGCUGCCACUUUCCAGUCACAGCAGGGAUGUAGUUCCGGCCAGAGCACCAGGAAGAGGAGCAGGAUGGGGCAGCUGGCACAGGGCGGAGCGAGGGUGGGCACCGCUGCGUAUAUGGAGAGGGGAUUAGCACUGGGGCUCUAGCAGAAGCAGGGAGAUAGGAAAUCCCAAGACAGCCUGGUUAUCCGGCCCUGGCUCUCUCCCGGCCCUGGAUGGGAGUGGCUUGUCUCCUAGUCACUUUCCCCAGCCCAGGGGGAACAAAGGGGCUGGAGAGGGUGGGGGCCCACCUUGGAGUGGGCCUCAGGGUACAAUGAGACUCCUGCCUCCGCACCAGAUUUGCAGGUUUGACUUCUCCUGAGGAAGCCUCCACCCUAUGGCCACAAGGCCCUAGGGCCUGUAUUUACAGAGUUCUGAAUUUACCUGGCCCUAAAACCAUGUGGCCUGUGCAUGCAUAAUAGAGGCCACAGCACAGAGCUCUUGAGGUAGUGGCCCAGUGGGGACUCUGGGCUUGGUCCCAGCUGGGGGACUGACUUUAAGGAUCUAGCCUCCGUUCCUUCCCUGCCUGGGGAAAAAGAGAAGAGGAGCAGUCCAGGCACUGGCGACAGCCUGUAAUAAGAGGCCCUGAGUGCCAACAAGAGCGUGGUUGGAGAGUGACUCAGCCUCGUUGGUGCCUCCUCAGCAUGCAGGACAGGACCAACUGCUGCUACUACCCACUAUUGUGUAUCCAGGACCUGGAAUACGGAAGAUUAGCCCUAGCUAAUCACCAACUGGGGGAUCGAGUGCUGGAGAAAUGCCAUUUGGUGAAGAAGCCCAUGGAUUGCCAAGAGUGGUUUGCCUGUCUCCAAUGGCCCGGAAGGACCUAUAGGGUGAAGUGUGAGGUGGGGAAGGGCGUGAAUGUCGUGGCUACCCCCAGACAAGACCCCACCCGCCGGGGCUCUGAGUGUGCUCGAUGCAACCGUCCAGCAAGCUUUCUGCUUUGGUUUCUAAAGAGUUAGGCUGACGCCACAAAAACAUGGGCUCUGGAGUCCCAAGGACCCAGGUUUGAAUCUGGCUCCGUCACUCACUACCUGUGUGGCCCUAACCGUGGUCUCUUUACUUUUAAAAUGGAGCUAAUGAUACCUGCUUCUUAGAGUUGUGAGAUUGAGAAAUUGUAUAUGUACGUGACAUAUACUUAGCCUAACACAGAGCCUGGCAUAUAGUAGAGCCGAAUGAUUGGUUCCUAAUGACAGUCCUGACUGUGGAGAGGCCGAGCCUGGUGCUGGCCCUCCCUGCAGGCUCCAUUCUCAGGGGCCCCCUCUGAUCUGGGCUUCCCCAGCACCCCUCUGCCACGUGACCUUCAGGCAUUGUAGGGACCGUCAUUAUUUUCUCUGCCCACCUGGGUUUCCCAUCCCCCUCCUCCUGGUAACACAGCCCACUUUCCCCACCAUGGGACCAGGUGUGUGAACUAGGUCUGGCUGGGACCACAACAGGCCCACUCAGAGCCUUCUCUGAGAUGGAUAUGUUGAUGUGGAGAGAGAGAAGCCCUCUUUUCAAGCCUUUUCAAAUCUUUGCAAAUGGCCACGUGCCCCACCACGGCGACAGAGCCUGCGUACAGAGGUCAGGCAAAGACAAGGAGAAAAACUGUCCUGGCUUUCCCCAUACUGCCUUUCUCAGCUGCGUGAGCUAGAAAUUUCCUUUUUGGUGUAAGCUAGUGGCAAUAUGGCUUCUGAUAUUUGUAAAGAAGACUCCUGCUUGGUACAGGCACUUGUGUCCUUGGAAUUUGGGGACAUAAGGAAUUUGUCUGAAGUACAGAGCAGUUAGUGGUAGAACCAGAAUUCAGGCUUGUUUGGCUGGCUGUCUAUUCACCAUAAACUAUACCACACCUUCCACACAUCAUUCACAAGUUCUUUAUCGAGUGCAUGCUAUGUGCCAGACGCCAAACUCACCUCCCACUCCUCCUUCCACAGCUACUGAAGUCCCCAUGCCCUCAUUCACUCCCAGUCUUUAAGGACCCUAAGUCAGGAGACAUAAAAAACUGCCCUUCUCCACCAGGAUAGGGCCCAGCACACUCACUGUCUUCCCAGAAUCAGUACUCCAAGAAUCCUCCUCAAAUACGAAGGAUGUGAGAGGAGCCAGCCGCUACCUGCCUACCGCAGUCUGCUCAGCGUGGAGUAAGUCCAGCCCCGGCCCCUGGAGGAGUUCCUGCCUGUGUCCCACUCUGAGUGACUGUGAUCCUGUGGCCCUUGUUGCUGCAGUGACCAUUUAUGGGGAUACUGAGGUCAUCUUCAAAGUGCUUUUGAUCUAAAUUCUCCCAGAUGUACCCUUUCUUUACCUUGCAAAUCUGGUUGAGGAGAGAGAGGGCGUUGGGAGCAGAGGGACUUCGGGACAGUGAUUUCCAAAUCUGGUCCUCAGAAUACCGAUGGACCAUGAUGAUGACGUCACCAGUUGGUGACAAAAAAGGAGAAAAGCACAAACUGUGGACUGAGCUUUUCCUGAAGCAAAAUUAUUUCAUUUAAAGGACCAUCCUUUAAAGGGAAAUCAAGUUCUUCCUCCUUUUUUGGUAUUAAACUAUACUUUCUUUCA